UACAGAGGGUGCGAGCGUUAAUCGGAAUUACUGGGCGUAAAGCGUGCGUAGACGGUAGCGUAAGUCAGAUGUGAAAGCCCCGGGCUCAACCUGGGAACUGCAUUUGAGACUGCUCUGCUCGGGUGCGGAAGAGGGAAGCGGAAUUUCCGGUGUAGCGGUGAAAUGCGUAGAUAUCGGGAGGAACACCUGUGGCGAAAGCGGCUCACUGGACCAUUACUGACGCUGAUGCUCGAAAGCUAGGGGAGCAAACAGG
rnacentral:rRNA from 1 species